rnacentral:rRNA from 1 species
AUUGAACGCUGGCGGCAGGCCUAACACAUGCAAGUCGAACGGUAACAGGAAACAGCUUGCUGUUUCGCUGACGAGUGGCGGACGGGUGAGUAAUGUCUGGGAAACUGCCUGAUGGAGGGGGAUAACGACUGGAAACGGUAGCUAAUACCGCAUAACGUCGCAAGACCAAAGAGGGGGACCUUCGGGCCUCUUGCAAUCGGAUGUGCCCAGAUGGGAUUAGCUAGUAGGUGGGGUAACGGCUCACCUAGGCGACGAUCCCUAGCUGGUCUGAGAGGAUGACCAGCCACACUGGAACUGAGACACGGUCCAGACUCCUACGGGAGGCAGCAGUGGGGAAUAUUGCACAAUGGGCGCAAGCCUGAUGCAGCCAUGCCGCGUGUAUGAAGAAGGCCUUCGGGUUGUAAAGUACUUUCAGCGGGGAUGAAGGGAGUAAAGUUAAUACCUCUGCUCAUUGACGUUACCCGCAGAAGAAGCACCGGCUAACUCCGUG